GAUGAACGCUGGCGGCGUGCCUAAUACAUGCAAGUCGAGCGAACGGACGAGAAGCUUGUUUCUCUGAUGUUAGCGGCGGACGGGUGUGUAACACGUGGAUAACCUACCUAUAAGACUGGGAUAAUCUCGGGAAACCGUAGCUAAUACCGGAUAAUAUUUUGAACCGCAUGGUUGAAAAGUGAAAGACGGUCUUGCUGUCACGUAUAGAUGGAUCCGCGCUGCAUUAGCUAGUUGGUAAGGUAACGGCUUACCAAGGCAACGAUGCAUAGCCGACCUGAGAGGGUGAUCGGCCACACUGGAACUGAGACACGGUCCAGACUCCUACGGGAGGCAGCAGUAGGGAAUCUUCCGCAAUGGGCGAAAGCCUGACGGAGCAACGCCGCGUGAGUGAUGAAGGUCUUCGGAUCGUAAAACUCUGUUAUUAGGGAAGAACAUAUGUGUAAGUAACUGUGCACAUCUUGACGGUACCUAAUCAGAAAGCCACGGCUAACUACGUG
rnacentral:rRNA from 1 species